CUUCCUCGUGUCUUGAGAGAAAAGGAUCCUGAAACUGCUGUUUUGUUUCCAUUAACAUGAAUGAUGCACCCUACAUUUUCCCUAACCUCUAACCUGAUGGAAUGACUAAACAAACAGUAGUUUGAAUUCUUCUUUUCUUUAAUAAACUCUCGAAUUUCAGGAGGGCCGGCGUAUUUCUGUGUCAGAAGUGGUGACGGAUCUCAAAUCUCUGUAGGAAUAGUAUUUCAUGUGCCAUGUGGUUUGCAAAACAGCUGCCAAUAAAAAGCCCUAUUGUAUGUAUGUGACCUGCACACGUAACAAGAGACUGUCACAGAAUUUUUACAGCCCAAACAGACAAAGGACGGGAGAAGAAAUAGAGGCACAAACUGUAUUCUGCGAUCAAGAUCUCCCAGAAUCUUUGGAAGAGCCAGGUCAUCUAGGCUCCAUGCUUGCCAGACUCCUAGUCCUUUGGAAAGUUCUUCAAAGUCAAAUAUGUGUUUACAAUGAGUAA
rnacentral:lncRNA from 1 species